UUGAAAAUUUUCUAUGGCGUUAUUCAGUGGAACGACUGGGUUCACCGCAUUCAUACAUAGUUGUAAAUAUUUGACGUGUUUUCAUAUUGAUUUUUUAGUUGCAAUAACUAAUAAGUAGAAGGCUCUGUUGUUUCAUCUAUGUAGUCGCAAAAACUAAUUCUAUAGCUAAGUGUAAUCUAUAUGCUUGUAUCUUCAUCAUAAUAUGUAAUAUAAUUUUAAAGAUUUGACCUGAAAUUUUAGUUUCGUGACACUGAUAGACUAUUAUUGCUUUUUACUCCAUAUUUAUAUUUUCCAUCGACUAUAAGUGAUACAUGAAGUGGAUGUUGCAAGUUUGAAAAUCAGAUCUAUUGAUGCAUAUCAUGUUAAGUGCAAGUUUCCAACACAGAAGUAGACCGUUAUAUAAAGCUAGAAUAGAUGAAUCCUGAAGUUGCAAAGACUAAAGUCAACUAAAGGCUAUACUAGCAAUCUGUCAAAAAACCCCGAAAAAUAUGGUAGUUGGUAAUUCUACAGCAUUUUGUGUAAAAUAAAACACUUAUAAGACAAUACAAGACAUUACAAGAAAAUAAAAGACAUAUACUUCAGAAAGAAACAGAACUUUCAUUCCUCAUAACUAUAUCAUAAAAUUGAUCAGUAUUAUAAAGUUUUAGAGAAUGCGUAAUUAGGAGCGGAUAAAGCGAA